GACGAACGCUGGCGGCGUGCCUAAUACAUGCAAGUCGAACGCUGAAGCUUGGUGCUUGCACCGAGCGGAUGAGUUGCGAACGGGUGAGUAACGCGUAGGUAACCUGCCUGGUAGCGGGGGAUAACUAUUGGAAACGAUAGCUAAUACCGCAUAAGAGUAGAUGUUGCAUGACAUUUGCUUAAAAGGUGCAAUUGCAUCACUACCAGAUGGACCUGCGUUGUAUUAGCUAGUUGGUGAGGUAACGGCUCACCAAGGCAACGAUACAUAGCCGACCUGAGAGGGUGAUCGGCCACACUGGGACUGAGACACGGCCCAGACUCCUACGGGAGGCAGCAGUAGGGAAUCUUCGGCAAUGGACGGAAGUCUGACCGAGCAACGCCGCGUGAGUGAAGAAGGUUUUCGGAUCGUAAAGCUCUGUUGUAAGAGAAGAACGAGUGUGAGAGUGGAAAGUUCACACUGUGACGGUAUCUUACCAGAAAGGGACGGCUAACUACGUG
rnacentral:rRNA from 1 species